CAUCUGCCAGCAGAAAUCCCUUUCGUAAUGGUUUGUAAACCUUACAAGAUUCUGCAAUAAUUGCUCGACGGUGACUUCACGCAGGGCUCAGACACACGAUGGACUUACUGUGGUUUCUGGAGCUACCAUGGUAACU